rnacentral:rRNA from 1 species
CCUACGGGUGGCAGCAGUGAGGAAUAUUGGUCAAUGGGCGCUAGCCUGAACCAGCCAAGUCGCGUGAAGGAUGAAUGCCCUCUGGGUUGUAAACUUCUUUUAUAUGGGAAUAAAGUGCAGUAUGUAUACUGCUUUGCAUGUACCUUAUGAAUAAGGAUCGGCUAACUCCGUGCCAGCAGCCGCGGUAAUAAGGAGGAUCCGAGCGUUAUCCGGAUUUAUGGGGUUUAAAGGGAGCGUAGGCGGGUUGUUAAGUCAGUUGUGAAAGUUUGCGGCUCAACCGUAGAAUUGCAGUUGAUACUGGCAGCAUUGAGUACAGUAGAGGUAGGCGGAAUGCGUGGUGUAGCGGUGAAAUGCAUAGAUAUCACGAAGAACUCCGAUUGCGAAGGCAGCUUGCUGGACUGUAACUGACGCUGAGGAGCGAAAGCGUGGGGAGCAAACAGGAUUAGAUACCCCUGUAGUC